ACUGCUCAGUAACACGUGGACAACCUGCCCUUAGGUUGGGUAUAAACCCGGGAAACUGGGUAUAAUACCCGAUAGGUCUCGAUUGCUGGAAUGCAUCGAGAUUUAAAGCUCCGGCGCCUAAGGAUGGGUCUGCGGCCUAUCAGGUAGUAGUGGGUGUAGCGUACCUACUAGCCUACGACGGGUACGGGUUGUGAGAGCAAGAGCCCGGAGAUGGAUUCUGAGACACGAAUCCAGGCCCUACGGGGUGCAGCAGGCGCGAAAACUUUACAAUGCUGGCAACAGCGAUAAGGGAACCUCGAGUGCCAGGUUACAAAUCUGGCUGUCGAGAUGCCUAAAAAGCAUUUCAUAGCAAGGGCCGGGCAAGACCGGUGCCAGCCGCCGCGGUAACACCGGCGGCUCGAGUGGUAACCGUUAUUAUUGGGUCUAAAGGGUCUGUAGCCGGCCGGAUAAGUCUCUUGAGAAAUCUGGCAGCUUAACUGUCAGGCUUUCAGGAGAUACUGUCUGGCUCGAGGCCGGGAGAGGUGAGAGGUACUUCAGGGGUAGGGGUGAAAUCUUGUAAUCCUUGAAGGACCACCAGUGGCGAAGGCGGGUCUCUGGGCAGUAACUGACGCUGAGGAGCGAAAGCAUGGGUAGCGAACAGGAUUAGAUACCCUGGUAGUCCAUGCCGUAAACGGUGGGCGCUAGGUGUAGGGGUCUUCCACGACUUCUGUGCCGUAGCUAACGCAUUAAGCGCCCCGCCUGGGGAGUACGGCCGCAAGGCUAAAACUCAAAGGAAUUGGCGGGGGAGCAC
rnacentral:rRNA from 1 species